rnacentral:rRNA from 1 species
AAUUUAAAGUCUAACCUGCCCACUGAAAAUUUUGAAGGGCCGCAGUAUUUUGACUGUGCAAAGGUAGCAUAAUCAUUUGUCUUUUAAUUAAAGGCUGGAAUGAAUGGUUGGAUGAAAUAUUAACUGUCUCAUUUUUAAAAAUAUAAAAAUUUAUUUUUUUAGUUAAAAAACUGAAAUAAAUUUAAAAGACGAGAAGACCCUAUAGAUCUUUAUAAAUUUUAUUUGUAUAAAAAUUAGAAAGUAAAUUAUUAUAUAUAAUAUAUUUAUUUUAUUGGGGUGAUAGGAAAAUUUAAUAAACUUUUUUUAAAUAUAAAACAAUGAUUUUUGAAUAAUUGAUCCAAUAAUAUUGAUUAAAAAUUUAAGUUACCUUAGGGAUAACAGCGUAAUUUUUUUUGAGAGUUCAUAUCGACAAAAAAGUUUGCGACC